CCUACGGGAGGCAGCAGUGAGGAAUAUUGGACAAUGGGCGCAAGCCUGAUCCAGCCAUGCCGCGUGCAGGAAGACGCAUCUAUGGUGUGUAAACUGCUUUUGUACGGGAAGAAACACUCCCUCGUGAGGGAGCUUGACGGUACCGUAAGAAUAAGGAUCGGCUAACUCCGUGCCAGCAGCCGCGGUAAUACGGAGGAUCCAAGCGUUAUCCGGAAUCAUUGGGUUUAAAGGGUCCGUAGGCGGUUUAAUAAGUCAGUGGUGAAAGCCCAUCGCUCAACGAUGGAACGGCCAUUGAUACUGUUAGACUUGAAUUACUAGGAAGUAACUAGAAUAUGUAGUGUAGCGGUGAAAUGCUUAGAUAUUACAUGGAAUACCAAUUGCGAAGGCAGGUUACUACUAGUGGAUUGACGCUGAUGGACGAAAGCGUGGGGAGCGAACAGGAUUAGAUACCCUGGUAGUCCACGCCGUAAACGAUGGAUACUAGCUGUUGGGCGCAAGUUCAGUGGCUAAGCGAAAGUGAUAAGUAUCCCACCUGGGGAUACGUUCGCAAGAAGAGAACGUACGAAGAAGUAGAGGCGUGAGACGAGACGACGGACGACGACGAGGGAGGAGG
rnacentral:rRNA from 1 species